rnacentral:rRNA from 1 species
CAGCACCUCAAGUGGUCAGGAUGAUUAUUGGGCCUAGAGCAUCCGUAGCCGGCGCUGUAAGUUUUCGGUUAAAUCUGUACGCUCAACGUACAGGCUGCCGGGAAUACUGCAGAGCUAGGGAGUGGGAGAGGUAGACGGUACUCGGUAGGAAGGGGUAAAAUCCUUUGAUCUAUUGAUGACCACCUGUGGCGAAGGCGGUCUACCAGAACACGUCCGACGGUGAGGGAUGAAAGCUGGGGGAGCAAACCGGAUUAGAUACCCGAGUAGUCC